GCCGGAGAUCUCGAGCUUCGUAGAAACUCUUUUCACACCUGUAACAGCAAAGGUUGUAGCAUUCUGUAUCAGCAAGAUCUUGGUAAUCCUGAUUUCCAAGGCACAGAAAUCUCCUUCUGUAACGGCAACUGAACACUUGGAGAAGACCUGUAGUGUCAUCAAUAUUAAUACAAAGCACAAACUCUUUCCAAACCAGGGGAAAUUAAAAGGAAGAGCAUCCUAUCUGAAAAUCUGGAAUACCAUUUGAGGACAUUGUUCUGAAACAUUUUUGUCUAUUAUGGAUGAUUAUAUUCCUUCUGUUUUUAUUACGAGGAUUAAUCAAAGGCAGACUGGCUGAAAGACAUCAAAAAGGUAUAUUAGAUCUUAAGAAUUACUAUGAGGGUUCUAACAGUUGUUUCCUCCCUUACCAAAGAGGAUUAAAUAAUAAAACAAAGAUAACAUAUCUGGGUGUUUUUUUUUCUGUAAUGCUGAAGUAUAUUUUUUUCAGAAGUUAAAAAACAAAUUCAGGAUUCUACAAGAAUGUAUCUAAGAUUAGCCAUGUUCAUUCUUUAGUGUGAAGUUUGAAUAUGUCUGAAACUAAAUUCCUAAAGUUUUUCUUCAUUUAUAUCUUCCCAUAGUGUGACUACAUAAAAUAACAAAUUUCUCUUGGUGUAAAAACUAUAGGAGUAGUCCAGCUAAAAACAUGCUUUAUCUUUGAAAGAUAUUUUGCCUUACAGACCUCUUCUUCUACCUAAUCUUCUACAUCUCUUCCUCAUGUAAGAUGACACACUGUAUGACUUGAGAAAGGACAGAGUGCAGAGAAAGGCCAACAAGCAAAGUUAUUCAUGGACUUCCAAGUCCACUGUAGAGGAUUUACAUUUUGUAGCUCAACCACCUCUGGAAAGAGGGAAUCUCUGAAUUCUAACUAAGUGGAAUCUGAAGAGAAGAAAGCUUCCAUAUGAGAACAAAACUUGUAAUAUCAGACUUCACAAAGAUUGGGUACCCUGGAAAGGCCAAUGAACUUUUGUUCUAUAACCAGGAUCUGCUUUUCAUCUUGAAGCAAAAUAAGGACAAAAACCACCCCAACAACAAACCAAAAGAA